GACGAACGCUGGCGGCGUGCCUAAUACAUGCAAGUUGAGCGCUGAAGGUUGGUACUUGUACCAACUGGAUGAGCAGCGAACGGGUGAGUAACGCGUGGGGAAUCUGCCUUUGAGCGGGGGACAACAUUUGGAAACGAAUGCUAAUACCGCAUAAAAACUUUAAACACAAGUUUUAAGUUUGAAAGAUGCAAUUGCAUCACUCAAAGAUGAUCCCGCGUUGUAUUAGCUAGUUGGUGAGGUAAAGGCUCACCAAGGCGAUGAUACAUAGCCGACCUGAGAGGGUGAUCGGCCACAUUGGGACUGAGACACGGCCCAAACUCCUACGGGAGGCAGCAGUAGGGAAUCUUCGGCAAUGGACGAAAGUCUGACCGAGCAACGCCGCGUGAGUGAAGAAGGUUUUCGGAUCGUAAAACUCUGUUGGUAGAGAAGAACGUUGGUGAGAGUGGAAAGCUCAUCAAGUGACGGUACCUACCCAGAAAGGGACGGCUAACUACGUG
rnacentral:rRNA from 1 species